rnacentral:rRNA from 1 species
UACGUAGGGAGCUAGCGUUGUUCGGAAUUACUGGGCGUAAAGCGCACGUAGGCGGCUUUGUAAGUUAGAGGUGAAAGCCCGGGGCUCAACUCCGGAACUGCCUUUAAGACUGCAUCGCUUGAAUCCGGGAGAGGUGAGUGGAAUUCCGAGUGUAGAGGUGAAAUUCGUAGAUAUUCGGAAGAACACCAGUGGCGAAGGCGGCUCACUGGACCGGUAUUGACGCUGAGGUGCGAAAGCGUGGGGAGCAAACAGG